rnacentral:rRNA from 1 species
CCAUAUGGUCGACCUGCAGGCGGCCGCGAAUUCACUAGUGAUUCGUAUUCCCGGGGCUGCUGGCACGGAGUUAGCCGGAGCUUAUUCUCCCGAUACUGUCAUUAUCAUCUCGGGUAAAAGAGCUUUACAACCCUAAGGCCUUCAUCACUCACGCGGCAUUGCUGGAUCAGGCUUUCGCCCAUUGUCCAAUAUUCCCUACUGCUGCCUCCCGUAGGAGUCUGGGCCGUGUCUCAGUCCCAGUGUGGCUGAUCAUCCUCUCAGACCAGCUAAGGAUCGUUGCCUUGGUGAGCCUUUACCCCACCAACUAGCUAAUCCUACGCGGGCUCAUCCCUGGGCGAUAAAUCUUUGGACUUUCGUCAUCAUCCGGCAUUAGCUUCAGUUUCCCGAAGUUAUUCCGAACCCAAGGGCAGAUUCCCACGCGUUACGCACCCGUGCGCCACUAGACCCGAAGGUCUCGUUCGACUUGCAUGUAUUAGGCAUGCCCCCAGCGUUCGUUCUGAGCCAUGAUCAAACUCUAAUCGAAUUCCCGCGGCCGCC